CUUGGUCAUUUAGAGAAGUAAAAGUCGUAACAAGGUUUCCGUAGGUGAACCUGCGGAAGGAUCAUACCGAGUUAGGGUCUUAUAGGCCUGAUCUCCAACCCUUUGUUUACUAUCCAUGUUGCUUUGGUGGGCCCGCUUUUCGGGGCCGCCGGGGGCCUAUGCCCUGGUCAGUGCUCGCCAGUAGCCUUAUUAAAUUCUUUCAUAAUUAUGUGUCUGAGUAUAAAUAUAAAUCGUUUAAAACUUUCAACAACGGAUCUCUUGUUCUGGCAUCGAUGAAGAACGCAGCGAAAUGUGAUAAGUAAUGCGAAUGCAGAAUUCAGUGAGUCAUCGAAUCUUUGAACGCAUAUUGCGCCCUUUGUAUUCCGAAGGGCAUGCCUGUUCGAGCGUCAUUAUCAACCAUCAAGCCCGGCUUGUCGUUGGACCCCUUGCUGCUGAAAUAUACGGCAGGUCCGAAAGUAAUGACGGCGUCGUGUUUGACCCUAGAUGCAACGAGCUUUUUCAUAGCCGCAUUGAAGUGGUCGGCCGACCCGGUCUUUAACCAUCAUUCUCUAAGGUGACCUCGGAUCAGGUAGGAAUACCCGCUGAACUUAAGCAUAUCAAUAACGGAGGAA
rnacentral:rRNA from 1 species